rnacentral:tRNA from 1 species
AGGGCUGUAGCUCAGUGGUAGAGUGCUUGCCUAGCAUGCAUGAGGCAAUGGGUUCAAUCCUCAGCACCA